rnacentral:rRNA from 1 species
UGUCUGGGAAACUGCCUGAUGGAGGGGGAUAACUACUGGAAACGGUGGCUAAUACCGCAUAACGUCGCAAGACCAAAGAGGGGGACCUUCGGGCCUCUUGCCAUCAGAUGUGCCCAGAUGGGAUUAGCUUGUUGGUGAGGUAACGGCUCACCAAGGCGACGAUCCCUAGCUGGUCUGAGAGGAUGACCAGCCACACUGGAACUGAGACACGGUCCAGACUCCUACGGGAGGCAGCAGUGGGGAAUAUUGCACAAUGGGCGCAAGCCUGAUGCAGCCAUGCCGCGUGUAUGAAGAAGGCCUUCGGGUUGUAAAGUACUUUCAGCGGGGAGGAAGGUGUUGUGGUUAAUAACCGCAGCAAUUGACGUUACCCGCAGAAGAAGCACCGGCUAACUCCGUGCCAGCAGCCGCGGUAAUACGGAGGGUGCAAGCGUUAAUCGGAAUUACUGGGCGUAAAGCGCACGCAGGCGGUCUGUCAAGUCGGAUGUGAAAUCCCCGGGCUCAACCUGGGAACUGCAUUCGAAACUGGCAGGCUUGAGUCUUGUAGAGGGGGGUAGAAUUCCAGGUGUAGCGGUGAAAUGCGUAGAGAUCUGGAGGAAUACCGGUGGCGAAGGCGGCCCCCUGGACAAAGACUGACGCUCAGGUGCGAAAGCGUGGGGAGCAAACAGGAUUAGAUACCCUGGUAGUCCACGCCGUAAACGAUGUCUACUUGGAGGUUGUGCCCUUGAGGCGUGGCUUCCGGAGCUAACGCGUUAAGUAGACCGCCUGGGGAGUACGGCCGCAAGGUUAAAACUCAAAUGAAUUGACGGGGGCCCGCACAAGCGGUGGAGCAUGUGGUUUAAUUCGAUGCAACGCGAAGAACCUUACCUGGUCUUGACAUCCACAGAAGAAUCCAGAGAUGGAUUUGUGCCUUCGGGAACUGUGAGACAGGUGCUGCAUGGCUGUCGUCAGCUCGUGUUGUGAAAUGUUGGGUUAAGUCCCGCAACGAGCGCAACCCUUAUCCUUUGUUGCCAGCGGUUAGGCCGGGAACUCAAAGGAGACUGCCAGUGAUAAACUGGAGGAAGGUGGGGAUGACGUCAAGUCAUCAUGGCCCUUACGACCAGGGCUACACACGUGCUACAAUGGCGCAUACAAAGAGAAGCGACCUCGCGAGAGCAAGCGGACCUCAUAAAGUGCGUCGUAGUCCGGAUUGGAGUCUGCAACUCGACUCCAUGAAGUCGGAAUCGCUAGUAAUCGUGGAUCAGAAUGCCACGGUGAAUACGUUCCCGGGCCUUGUACACACCGCCCGUCACACCAUGGGAGUGGGUUGCAAAAGAAGUAGGUAGCUUAACCUUCGGGAGGGCGCUUACCACUUUGUGAUUCAUGACUGGGGUGAAGUCGUAACAAGGUAACCGUAGGGGAACCUGCGGUUGGAUCACCUCCUUACCUUAAAGAA